GCUCCCAGGAAACACAGCUGCUUGCUCGGUCAUGUGAAUUUUCUCUGGAGAGGUUGUUUUGGGAAACCAUUGGGCUGAAGAACAGUCUGUGAGAAGGGACAAAAGGCUCAUUUUGCUGUGUUGUUGAGAACAGACUGGAAGAGGUGAUCGGAAAAGGCAGGAAGACUUCUUUGAAGACUAUUACAGUCAUUCUGCAGAGGAAGGAGAGAAACCAGCAUAAACACGUAGAAGGAGCACCAGUAAGGCAACAGGAAAGCUGAGAGGUGUGGAGUCCUGCAAGCCUAGUGAAGAGCAAAAAAAGCCUGCAUACUGAUUUCGACUUGCCCACUGGAGACCUCCAUGCCAGUGUUGGGUCAGGAUUGUUUCUGUGUACCUUCUGGUGGAAGGAUGAGCACAAUGCCUGGACUCCCUACCAAGACCUGUGUUUAUGGUAUUGAUUUUUACUCUGAAAAGAAACAGGUGUAUGGGCUGUCCAUCUUCAAGAAGCUACUGUGAAAGUUUGGCCCCUGUCUUAUCCAGGCCUACUGUCUCUUAGAAAGUAUAGGGAAGUCAAGGAAAGUCAGCCUCUGCCUGGAAAAUCUUCUAUAAUAAAUAGUUGGAUUUUCCUCCAGCAGCCUUUCUCUGGUUCUAUGUGUUUGUAAUUGAUUGAUGUAUCUUCUUGAUGGAUUGAUUCCUUAAUCAAUGUUAUUUUCAACAUCAAUGUAAUAUUCUUUGUCCAUUGUUACAACUCAGAUUAAAAAAAAUAAAACUAUUAAAACUA